UUGGUAAUGAAAUAAAUUCAUCUAUCAAGGGAAAACUAGCUCGCAAAAGCUUAGAAGACUAUGAUGAUCCAUUAAGUGAUGCUGGAUUCUUUGAGUUUUCGCGCACACAACCUAAAAAACGAGUUGCUAGAGACUUAAGCAAAGACGCCAAUAACUUAAUAGAUUCUUAUCGAGUCGAUUACAUUUACGGGACAUUUUUAGGCGUUACAGUAUUUAUUGUUUUCGCUGUAGCUCUAUCAGUUUUUAUGUAUAAACGAACAGGUGACCAACAACAAAAAAAUUUACAAAGCCUGUGUUAAUAAGUAACUUAAUUAGAAGAACUUUCAAUCGUUACUAACUUUGAUAUUGUAAGGAUUGAAAAUCCAGACUCAUACUCAAUUGAUAAUUGUGAUAUUUCAUUGUUCUGCUUAAUUUUACGUGUAUUUUUAAGAUUGGCAUGGAUGUGAUAAUUGCCGAACAAUCACUGCCUUAGUUUUAUUGAGUGACUAAUUUAUAACCAGUUUAAUUAUAUAGUGCCAUAAUAGUAACUGCACAGAUACAUAAAUUGUGCCAAACUUCAGACUAACCUGAACUUAUAUCCAGUCUUGAUAUAAUCGAAUUUGGCCGAAAUUUGAAGACUGGUCUACAGUCUUGCGUAAAUUAUACUUUGGGAGGUUUUGAUUCCCUUGACUCGGGCCUUAAAUCAACCUUAUUUAAAACUUCCAAGUUAAAAAUAAAAGCAAAAAAUACCUCUUCCGCUGAACUUUGAAGUUCGCGAGUCGUGGUACUGUUAAGUUUGGCACAUUUCGAAAAUUCCUGAUGAUGACAACCAGUGUAAGGUUCUGUAGUCACUAGUCAAUUUAUCCUGCAAAUACUAUUUUUUUUACUUUUUAUAUAAAAUAUAUAUGUAAUCACUUUAUUUUGUACACUGCCAAUUUUUGUAGUUAUACCCCUAUUGUCUACAGUGUAUCUUGCUAAAUUGGGUUGUUCUUAUGAAAGCAUAUAAUUAGAUUUGACAAAUAAUAUCUAUGGAGAGUCAAACACUAAUGUAUGCUUUCGUCUAAUUGUCGGAAACCUUUUAAACUGUUACCAUAUUUCUGUCCACUCUUCGGUCAUCUACGCAAUGAAGAGUAAUAGGUAUUGUUUAUACUAUGUAACAUAUAUUAUGUAAUAAGAUCGCUUAUUAAAUGAAUACAAGAGUGUUAAACAUUCCAUGAAUGUA